rnacentral:rRNA from 1 species
AACGAACGCUGGCGGCAUGCCUAACACAUGCAAGUCGAACGAGACCUUCGGGUCUAGUGGCGCACGGGUGCGUAACGCGUGGGAACCUGCCCUUAGGUUCGGAAUAACUCCCCGAAAGGGGUGCUAAUACCGGAUAAUGUCUUCGGACCAAAGAUUUAUCGCCUUUGGAUGGGCCCGCGUUGGAUUAGCUAGUUGGUAGGGUAAAAGCCUACCAAGGCGACGAUCCAGAGCUGGUCUGAGAGGAUGAUCAGCCACACUGGGACUGCGACACGGCCUAGACUCCUACGGGAGGCAGCAGUGGGGAGUACUGGAGAAGGGGCGAAAGCCUGACACAGCAAUGCCGCGUGAGUGAUGAAGGCCUUAGGGUUGUAAAGCUCUUUUACCCGGGAUGAUAAUGACAGUACCGGGAGAAUAAGCUCCGGCUAACUACGUG